CAAUAGCGUAUAUUAAAGUUGUUGCAGUUAAAAAGCUCGUAGUUGGAUUUCUGGUGGGAGCGAUCGGUCUGGCGCUUAGCGCGAGUACUUGCAUCGUCUCCGGCCAUCCUUGGGGAGAGUCUGUCUGGCAUUAGGUUGUCGGGCAGAGGAUCCUCAUCGUUUACUGUGAAAAAAUUAGAGUGUUCAAAGCAGGCUUAUGCCGUUGAAUAUAUUAGCAUGGAAUAAUAAGAUAGGACUUUGGUACUAUUUUGUUGGUUUGCACACCAAAGUAAUGAUUAAUAGGGACAGUUGGGGGUAUUCGUAUUCCGUUGUCAGAGGUGAAAUUCUUGGAUUUACGGAAGACGAACUACUGCGAAAGCAUUUACCAAGGAUGUUUUCAUUAA
rnacentral:rRNA from 1 species